UUGAGAAAAACAUCAAAUGCUCAUUGUUAUGGAUUAAAAACUGGUGGUCAACUUAAGGCCACCUGAAUUAAAUCAGCAUGGUGCUCAGCGUAGAUGGCCACCUGAGGAAAGUUACCAGCACGGAGACAGAGAAGACGAGUGAGGCGUUAUGGGUUCUCCUAAGCGUUGCUGUUUGAGCUGCUGGUUCCCCUGGAGGAGCUGUCAUGACCAGCUUCCCCAGUGUGAGUUCGACCACUGUCAUCAGCAGAGCUCGGGACCUUGCUGGUAAGUCAGAAAACCACAGUUCAGACUGGAGUUGAGAGCUGAUCUGGAACCAGCAAGACAGCCAGAAAUCGUUCUCUCUCAGCCUUGGAGGUACAAAGCGAGCCACUGGUUCCUGGUGGUCAGAUGAGAUGAGCUGCUUCAAAAAGCCCGGAGACACUGUUUCUCCCAGCAGGAGUCUGGCUAACCUGCUUGUGUAGCAGCUAAGACCUAGCGGGAACUACAUGAUGGGAAACCACUGGAGGGGUUGCUUAAACGAGAUAAAGGGUUUCUAUCCAUAUGAAAGAAGCCCAGAAUCGGGUGUGGUGGCGCACGCCUGUCAUCCCAGCACUGGGAGGCUGAGGCAGGAGGAUCAUUGCAUGUUCCAGGGCAUUUUGGGCUACAUAGUGAGCUUGAAGUCAGCCUGGACUAUUUAGAGGGACCCUGUCUUGUGAAAACAAACAAAGCACCCUACCACGGCCUGUAACAGAAGCCCACAGCAGCCCUUACUGCAUCCCGGCUCUGUGUAUGAAGGGGAGGCUCCCCGUGAGGAGCCCCCAGGGAGCGUCAGCUAAUACCAGCGUUAAAAGCUCUGCAUUUCCUCAGGCUAACCUUCAACUUACCGAGUGGAUCAUUUCUGUUUCUCCAGACUUCCAUAUAUGAAAGCAAUUACCACAGCAACUUGAAACUACAAAGAACUGCUUCAGGAGACAUUUGCCAUGUUUGAAUAGAAACUAGAAACAAACCUAGGGGAAGCCGGGCAUAAUGGUGCAUGUCUGUAAUUCCAGCACUCAGGAAGCUGAGCCAGGAGGAUCUCUGUGAGCUCAAAACCAGCCUGGGCUACAGAGUGAGUUCAAGUCCAGCCUGAACUGCAUAGUGAGAUCCUGCUUCAAAAAGACCAAAAAAGAGAGACAGCAGGAUAUACACAUAAAGGAAAGUUCACAUGAGAACAUGCAGGCAGUGGCCCAUCUGUAAGUCAAGGAAGCCCUCAAGGGGACACAAUCGUGAUCUUACACAUCUUGAUCCUGCAAUUCCAGCCCCCGGAACUGAGAGGAAAACACCCCAGCUAUGUGCACCCUCGCCAGUGAACAGGUGUGGGGCUUCGGUGUUAAAGAGAGGGUGCUGUUGAGGGUGGACUGGGUGGUAAGGAGUUGGCCUUCCUCCUGGAGCCUGUUUCUAUUUUGAAGGAUUUGCAUUAGAGAGAGGAGCCGACUUCUCACUUCUGUCCACUUGAGAGUGAAGAAAUCUCUCCCCUGGCAGUGAUAGCAGAGCUCAGAGGAGGACCUGUCCUUUCAAAGCCCAGAGGCCCAGUCCUUCCUUCCUGCUCCUGCCCAGGGUGCCCCUACCUGUGACUCAGGAUGCCUGCCACGGGGCCACUUGUGAUGGUCGCACAGCUCACCCACAUUCCCAUAUGGCUUUUUAUCAAUAAACACAAUUUACACUUCAAUCUCCAGCUGCCCGAGUCCACGCCUGCCUCUGAGUGCCCUCAGCUGAUACAGGACAAGGAGGUGUCCCCAAGCCCACAACAGGAAGGACAAGCAUUUUCCAAAGGUAAGGAACCUGCAGCCCCAAACACAGGAGCAAGCCGGAGAGCAUACGCGGAGUUCCUAAGUGGAGUGGCCCUGCCGGUGGUUCACGGGCUCGCUCCUGACACACACUGAAGGGACGGGAAGACAGGAAAAUGCCCAUUGGACUUAGCAAGUCAGGGCCCUAGUAACCUUGGCAACAGCCGCACCAAGACUUUGUGGAUGGGGUAGGAAAUGUGACCAUGCAGUGUGCUGAAGAGGGGUGGCAGCCGGUGUGCCCUGAUUCCUUUAUGAGAAUUGGGGGAAAGGAACCAUCAGGCGGUGGAGGGAGUUGAGGUACAAGCUGAGUAUUUCGAGGGGAAGGACUUGAGCUUGCUUGCAUAUGGUGAGGGAGGAGCGAGGGAGACAUGGGGAGAGAUUUCAUUACAGGCAGCCGAGUUAGACUGAAAUGUUACAGGCAGUCAGACAGGGCUGGGCCCUGGAGGGAGCCAUGCAGAGGGGCAGAUACCUUGGAACUGUGGGGGAGACAGACACCUCUGCUGUAGGCCAGGCCUCAAGAGAAAAGAUCAAGCAAAUGCACCCACAUCCUAAGAACUGAUAUUCUAAAUACUCUAUCACCCUGAGGAAGCCAGGGGUCAUCAGACCAACCCCCUAGGAGAAGAGUCAGGGCUCUGUAUGUGUGUCUCACAUCUGUCCCCCAUUUAAUCAAUUUUAUCUGAACAGUGAAUCUUACUGGCUGACCACAGUUCUGUCCCACCUCAUGCCCACCCGCCUUGCCAGUUCCCAUCUUGGGCCUGCCUCAUUUUGUGAUUUUACCCUAUAAAAUCCCUAGAAAAGACAGAGUCUUUGGCAACCCACUCACAACCCCUUCUGUUUUCUCUCAAUAAAUAUAUUCUGCUCUUAA